CUUAAAAGUUUCGACAUGUCACGUGUCGCUCGAUGUGUGUCAAUAACAUUUAAUUAAUCGUAGUCGUGAUGUGAAUGCAGUUUCAGCGAAAUUUAAAUCGCGGUGCGAUCAACUUCUGAGUCCGAUGUCUCGUGUAAUAAAGAAAUACUUCGUUACUCGAGUAUAACAUAAUUGGACAGUGGAAAACAAAAUGGAAGAGCUCCUGCUUACGGAAGAAAUUUCUUGGCUGUCUGUACUUUCACGUUGCACAUCAACAAACAAUUGGGAAGUGAACAAAACGACAACUUCGCAUUAUAAUAUAUGGCAUUUUGGACGCCGAAAUUACCGAUAUUACGUAUUUCUCAUUAUCAUUAUUGGAAAAUGGUGAAACGGAGGUUAAAUUCUUGUUUACAAAAAAUUAUAACAUGUAUAAAUCGAUGUCGAAUUGUCAAAGACACCAAAAGAACGCAACAGGAUUGACACCCAACUAUAAUCAGGAAAGGAAAAUUUUAACACACAAAUCGAGAUGAGAAGUUUUACAUAUUAACACCGAUUCUUUUAUAUUCUCUCAUCUUUGAAAGAUUGUUCGAUUAUAAAAAUGCACAAAUGUGAAAAAGUUAAUAUCGAAUCACUAAUGUUGGAGCAAAAAUUCGAUCGGAAUAGGUCGACGUGGCACACGUUCGAGUGGAUACAAGCGGAUAAUGGACUUGAUUUGCGAAAGGUUCGAACAAACAUGGAACAGCACUACGUCCGACUGGUUGGCUCACUCGUUAAUCGUUAGAAAACCGAGCUUUGCGUAAGACUUAUUGGGCCUGGUAUAGGAGACACGGGUUAGACAAUGACGCAGUUGUGUUGGUGGACGUCGUCGGGCUGUAUAAUCGCGGCGCGAUGAUACAAUAUGGACCCACGUGCAUGAAUAUAAUCGUUUUACACUUGGAUCUUCAACGAUUAACGAACGUAAUUUACUUGCAAUAUAAGAGGAUCCAACUGGAUCAUAAUUGUCGACAUCGUCCAACUCUCUAUUACUUUUAUCUUGCGACUAUUGAUUUGCCCUAAUGGUCACUGAUUGCACGAUUCGCGGUAGUCAACAACGAUAUACGUCGAAGUGGAGGUAUCAAACACAAGGUGAUCCUAAAGUUUACACUAAACAUAUGCGCGUUCCUUCACGAAGGACGAUGUAAUAAUUGAUAAACUCACUGAAGUAAAUCUGCGGGAAGGAAACGAACCAAAGGUGUAUCGAAGCCGAAUCAAACUCCUUAUUCGCGUCGGAGCAUAGAUCGGGAUUUUGCCGGGCAUAGUUCGAAGGUUUAAUCAUCAGUUGCAAUUACCUUCGUCAAACGUUCCGGGACUCGUUGCUGUUAACGAAACAGUGUCAUUGUCUACACAACGCUGCAUCAGUAACGGUAUAUACACCCUCAGGCAUCUGAUGAAGCUGGCUGCACCGUCGAAAGAAGAGGAUAUUAUUCCAAGAAAAAGAGUUACACAUAUAGAGUUCAAAAAAUGAGAGACAAUAUACAAGUCUGAAUUGUGAAAGGCUCAAGGAUAUUAUUGAUAACCUGAGGCCGUGUCUCUGUAUUCUAGACGCAGAUGUCUCGAAUUGUAUAUCAAUAAAUCAUCGCCGAUGACAACUAGAGCUUCUUGUCGUAUUAAUUUUUAUAUCUACUUUCUGUAUAGUAAAACUCCGUUUAUGUAAAUUUGUUGAUUGAUUAACUGAUCCUCCUAAACAUUUAAUACUUUUCCUUUAUACAAUAGAUGUCGAUAUUCAAAUAGGUUCAAUAGCAGCAAGUUCAAGCUUAUUUAAAACUUAAUUAACAGAAAUUCAUUUAGUCAAACACUAAUCUUUUGUUCGAGUAACUGGAAUUUGUACUCUAGUUCUACUCCAGUUCUAUAUAUUUCUUUUUCAAUAAUAGUCUUAAUGUCAAUCUUCACUACAGUAUCAUAGAAAUAACAUAUCAACCCAUCAAGCUUAUAAGACACUUCUUUUCUUUCGUAUGUAAUCAAACCAUUUACAGUAACACGUCACUGUAAUUGUUUAGAUAAUUCAAUGUAAAAAUAAAUUCACAGAAUUGCAGAAAUUCGGAAGAUUUCGAUAUCGUAAGAAUCGUAGUGCAAAAUGAAUAAAAGGUAGUAGUGUGUAGUGGGACAAAUGAACGCGGGUAGCUAUGCAACAGUUGGAUGGUAACGUAGUUCAAACUCGAAAGAGACGAACGAGCAUUCGCGAUCUCUCGACUACGAGUGAUUUUGUUGCGGCGCGACACAUAGCACUGCAUUAGAUUUCUAUUCGAUCAUGCAAUUACGUUAAAUUACAGACUGUCGAUUACAUCCAUUUCCAUUAGAUUUAAGCGUAGUUUCAGAUUUAAGUUCUAGUGACAUGAGAAUCCUUUGUGUCUGCGGUGCAUUGUACCACGUGAAGACCUUUC
rnacentral:lncRNA from 1 species